GCAAGAGAUACACAUGUAUCACUUGUCAAAGAUUUAUCGGUAUAGGAUGGGCCUGCGUCUGAUUAGCUAGUUGGUAGGGUAACGGCUUACCAAGGCAACGAUCAGUAGCCGACCUGAGAGGGUGAUCGGCCACAUUGGAACUGAGACACGGUCCAAACUCCUACGGGAGGCAGCAGUGGGGAAUAUUGCACAAUGGGCGCAAGCCUGAUGCAGCAACGCCGCGUGAAGGAUGAAGGCCUUCGGGUUGUAAACUUCUGUCCUAGGGGAAGAAACAAAUGACAUUACCCUUGGAGGAAGCCCCGGCUAACUACGUGCCAGCAGCCGCGGUAAUACGUAGGGGGCGAGCGUUAUCCGGAAUUAUUGGGCGUAAAGAGUGCGUAGGUGGCACCUUAAGCGCAGGGUUUAAGGCAAUGGCUCAACCAUUGUUCGCCUUGCGAACUGGGGUGCUUGAGUGCAGGAGGGGAAAGUGGAAUUCCUAGUGUAGCGGUGAAAUGCGUAGAUAUUAGGAGGAACACCAGUGGCGAAGGCGACUUUCUGGACUGUUACUGACACUGAGGCACGAAAGCGUGGGGAGCAAACAGGAUUAGAUACCCUGGUAGUCCACGCCGUAAACGAUGAGCACUAGGUGUCGGGGUCGCAAGACUUCGGUGCCGCAGUUAACGCAUUAAGUG
rnacentral:rRNA from 1 species